AGUCAGUGGUGAAAUCUCAUAGCUAACUAUGAACUGCCAUGAUACUGCUGUCUGAGUAAGUAGAAUAGCUGGAUAAGUAGGUAGCGUGAAAUGCAUAGAUUUACUUGAACACCAAUGCGAAGGCAGGUACUAUGUCUUAACUGACGCUGAUGGACGAAAGCGUGGGAGCGAACAGGAUUAGAUACCCUGGUAGUCCACGCUGUAAACGAUGCUAACUCGUUUUUGGGUUUUCGGAUUCAGAGACUAAGCGAAAGUGAUAAGUUAGCCACCUGGGGAGUACGAACGCAAGUUUGAAACUCAAAGGAAUUGACGGGGGCCCGCACAAGCGGUGGAUUAUGUGGUUUAAUUCGAUGAUACGCGAGGAACCUUACCAAGGCUUAAAUGGGAAUUGAUCGGUUUAGAAAUAGACCUUCCUUCGGGCAAUUUUCAAGGUGCUGCAUGGUUGUCGUCAGCUCGUGCCGUGAGGUGUUAGGUUAAGUCCUGCAACGAGCGCAACCCCUGUCACUAGUUGCCAUCAUUAAGUUGGGGACUCUAGUGAGACGGCCUACGCAAGUAGAGAGGAAGGUGGGGAUGACGUCAAAUCAUCACGGCCCUUACGCCUUGGGCCACACACGUAAUACAAUGGCCGGUACAGAGGGCAGCUACACAGCGAUGUGAUGCAAAUCUCGAAAGCCGGUCUCAGUUCGGAUUGGAGUCUGCAACUCGACUCUAUGAAGCCGGAAUCGCUCGUAAUCGCGCAUCAGCCAUGGCGCGGUGAAUACGUUCCCGGGCCUUGUACACACCG
rnacentral:rRNA from 1 species